rnacentral:lncRNA from 10 species
CAGGGUUUCACCAUGUUGGCCAGGCUAGUCUUGAAUUUCUGACCUCAAGUGAUUCAUCUCCCAAAGUGCUGGGAUUACAGGCGGCUCACCUGAGGUCAGGAGUUGGAGACCAGCCUGGCCAACAUGCUGAAACCCUGUCUGUACAAAAAUACAAAAAUAGCUGGGCAUGGUGGCGCAUGCCUGUAGUCCCAGCUACUAGAGCGACUGAGGCAGGAGAAUUGCUUGAACCUGGGAGGCGGAGGUUGCAGGGAGCCAAGAUGGCGCCACCGCACUCCAGCCUAGGUGAUAGAGUGAGACUCCCUCUCAAAAACAAAACAAAACAAAAAAAUUAGACAAAUGCUACAUUAAUGUUUGGGUGGUCAGAUUCUACUUUGAAUCUGAAGUUUGCAGAUAUGCCUAUAGAUUUUUGGAGUUUACCACUUUCUUAUUCUGUAUCAUUAAUGUAAUAUUUUAAAUUACUAUAUAUGUUACCAUUUUUCUGGAUUUAGUAAGAAAUUUGCAGUUUUGGUUUGAUGUAACAAGGGUUUUAAUGUAAUUUAUGUUAGAUUUUGCAUUUUUUUCAUUACUGUUAUAUUUUAACCUGACUGACUGAUCUAAUUGUAUUAGUAUUGUGAAUAAUCAUGUGAAAUGUUUUGAGACAGAGUACUAUAUUUGUGAAUAUAAUUUUAUGGUUUUUUUCACUUAGAACCUUUCUGUGUGGAAAACUAAGAAAAUUGCUUUCUGCUGUAUAAUCUGGCAUUCAUUGUAGAUUAAAGCUUAUUUUUCUGUGAAUAAAACGUAUUCAAUAAAAUACUAUUCUUU